AUUUAAAUAGCUUAAUUGAGAGUAUGAUAUUGAAGAUAUUAUGGUGAUAAUUUUAUCUUUAAAUA
rnacentral:tRNA from 1 species